rnacentral:rRNA from 1 species
UGGGGAAUAUUGGACAAUGGGCGAAAGCCUGAUCCAGCCAUGCCGCGUGUGUGAAGAAGGUCUUCGGAUUGUAAAGCACUUUAAGUUGGGAGGAAGGGCAUUAACCUAAUACGUUAGUGUUUUGACGUUACCGACAGAAUAAGCACCGGCUAACUCUGUGCCAGCAGCCGCGGUAAUACAGAGGGUGCAAGCGUUACUCGGAAUUACUGGGCGUAAAGCGCGCGUAGGUGGUUUGUUAAGUUGGAUGUGAAAUCCCCGGGCUCAACCUGGGAACUGCAUUCAAAACUGACUGACUAGAGUAUGGUAGAGGGUGGUGGAAUUUCCUGUGUAGCGGUGAAAUGCGUAGAUAUAGGAAGGAACACCAGUGGCGAAGGCGACCACCUGGACUAAUACUGACACUAAGGUGCGAAAGCGUGGGGAGCAAACA